GACGAACGCUGGCGGCGUGCUUAACACAUGCAAGUCGAACGGAAAGGCCCUGCUUUUGUGGGGUGCUCGAGUGGCGAAAGGGUGAGUAACACGUGAGUAACCUGCCCUUGACUUUGGGAUAACUUCAGGAAACUGGGGCUAAUACCGGAUAGGAGCUCCUGCUGCAUGGUGGGGGUUGGAAAGUUUCGGCGGUUGGGGAUGGACUCGCGGCUUAUCAGCGUGUUGGUGGGGUAGUGGCUUACCAAGGCUUUGACGGGUAGCCGGCCUGAGAGGGUGACCGGCCACAUUGGGACUGAGAUACGGCCCAGACUCCUACGGGAGGCAGCAGUGGGGAAUAUUGCACAAUGGGCGGAAGCCUGAUGCAGCAACGCCGCGUGCGGGAUGACGGCCUUCGGGUUGUAAACCGCUUUCGCCUGUGACGAAGCGUGAGUGACGGUAAUGGGUAAAGAAGCACCGGCUAGCUACGUG
rnacentral:rRNA from 1 species